GCGCUAGUAGCUCAGCUGGAUAGAGCGCACGGCUACGGACCGUGGUGUCGGGGGUUCGAAUCCUCUCUGGCGCG
rfam:Butyrivibrio sp. CAG:318 genomic scaffold, scf68